rnacentral:rRNA from 1 species
UAGAGUUUGAUCAUGGCUCAGAUUGAACGCUGGCGGCAUGCCUAACACAUGCAAGUCGAACGGCAGCAUGACGUGUAGCAAUACACGUUGAUGGCGAGUGGCGGACGGGUGAGGAAUGCAUCGGAAUCUGCCCAGUCGUGGGGGAUAACGUAGGGAAACUUACGCUAAUACCGCAUACGACCUUCGGGUGAAAGCGGGGGAUCGAAAGACCUCGCGCGAUUGGAUGAGCCGAUGCCGGAUUAGCUUGUUGGCGGGGUAAUGGCCCACCAAGGCGACGAUCCGUAGCUGGUCUGAGAGGAUGAUCAGCCACACUGGGACUGAGACACGGCCCAGACUCCUACGGGAGGCAGCAGUGGGGAAUAUUGGACAAUGGGCGAAAGCCUGAUCCAGCAAUGCCGCGUGAGUGAUGAAGGCCUUAGGGUCGUAAAGCUCUUUUGGCGGGGACGAUAAUGACGGUACCCGCAGAAUAAGCCCCGGCUAACUUCGUGCCAGCAGCCGCGGUAGCCC